rnacentral:lncRNA from 1 species
AAUGGAGCUCAUAUAUCCUUUUAAUAUAGUAUAUAUAGAUUACACAAAAUACACAUAUAUAUAUAUACAUAAAUACUUCGUCGUACAGAAUUCCUCCGGAGACGUCACCGUAGGCUUCAGCACCUCCACCGCUGUAUCUUCCGCACUUCACCAUCAUCUCUGUGGCGUUUCCUUCGUCACACCGGGUUUCCUUCGUCACACCACAAGCUCCGGUGUGCUCCGUCACAGUAUAUAGCACCUCCGGAGCGUUUCCUCCGUCACACCACCACCUCCGGUGUGUCUGCUCCUUCUCCUUCCCGUUUCAUUUCUGCUCCUUCUCGGAUCUGUAAACAAAACAAACAAAACAAUUAGAAAUAGCUUAAGAGAUUAGGAAGAGUAUGAAACACUUGCUUCUUCACAAAAGAUGAAGAAAGAGGAUGAACACAGAAUCAUGAAAUCGUCUUGGUCUCCACAACAAUGACUACUGAUGCUAACGACGGCAGGCUUGAAUGGAGGUUGAGCAGGAGAAGAAAGAGUAAUCUUAGUCAAAAAAAAAAAGAAAGAGGAGAUGAGAAGAUGGAGUUUGUGAGGGGAAAAGCGAAGAAAGAG